UGCAUGGAGCCGACCUUGAAAUACCACCCUUUAAUGUUUGAUGUUCUAACGUGGACCCGUGAUCCGGGUUGCGGACAGUGUCUGGUGGGUAGUUUGACUGGGGCGGUCUCCUCCUAAAGAGUAACGGAGGAGCACGAAGGUUGGCUAAUCCUGGUCGGACAUCAGGAGGUUAGUGCAAUGGCAUAAGCCAGCUUGACUGCGAGCGUGACGGCGCGAGCAGGUGCGAAAGCAGGUCAUAGUGAUCCGGUGGUUCUGAAUGGAAGGGCCAUCGCUCAACGGAUAAAAGGUACUCCGGGGAUAACAGGCUGAUACCGCCCAAGAGUUCAUAUCGACGGCGGUGUUUGGCACCUCGAUGUCGGCUCAUCACAUCCUGGGGCUGAAGUAGGUCCCAAGGGUAUGGCUGUUCGCCAUUUAAAGUGGUACGCGAGCUGGGUUUAGAACGUCGUGAGACAGUUCGGUCCCUAUCUGCCGUGGGCGCUGGAGAACUGAGGGGGGCUGCUCCUAGUACGAGAGGACCGGAGUGGACGCAUCACUGGUGUUCGGGUUGUCAUGCCAAUGGCACUGCCCGGUAGCUAAAUGCGGAAGAGAUAAGUGCUGAAAGCAUCUAAGCACGAAACUUGCC
rnacentral:rRNA from 1 species